ensembl:miRNA
AGCUACAUGUCAACUGAUUUGAUUAUGACUUUGUGGACAGACCAGUUGAUGUUCAGCUG